UACGGGGGGGGCAAGCGUUGUUCGGAAUUACUGGGCGUAAAGGGCUCGUAGGCGGCCAACUAAGUCGGACGUGAAAUCCCCAGGCUCAACUUGGGAACUGCGUCCGAUACUGGAUGGCUUGAAUCCGGGAGAGGGAUGCGGAAUUCCAGGUGUAGCGGUGAAAUGCGUAGAUAUCUGGAGGAACACCGGUGGCGAAGGCGGCAUCCUGGACCGGUAUUGACGCUGAUGCGCGAAAGCCAGGGGAGCAAACGGG
rnacentral:rRNA from 1 species